ACCGGGAAGAGCUCACAUUUGAAAUCUGGAGUGCUCAGUGCGUCCGAGUUGUAAUCUAUAGAGUCGUUUUCCGUGCCGGACUGUGUCCAAGUCCCUUGGAACAGGGUAUCAAAGAGGGUGAUAAUCCCGUACUUGACACAAUGACCGGUGCUCUGUGAUACGUCUUCUACGAGUCGAGUUGUUUGGGAAUGCAGCUCAAAAUGGGUGGUGAGUUCCAUCUAAAGCUAAAUAUUGGCGAGAGACCGAUAGCGAACAAGUACCGUGAGGGAAAGAUGAAAAGCACUUUGGAAAGAGAGUUAAACAGUACGUGAAAUUGUUAAAAGGGAAACGAUUGAAGUCAGUCGUGACUGAGAGGCUCAGCCGGUUCUGCCGGUGUAUUCCCCUCAGUCGGGUCAACAUCAGUUUUGUUCGGUGGAUAAGGGCAGUUGGAAGGUGGCACCCUCGGGUGUGUUAUAGCCAGCUGUCGCAUACAUCGGAUGAGACUGAGGAAUGCAGCUCGCCUUUAUGGCCGGGGUUCGCCCACGUUCGAGCUUAGGAUGUUGACAUAAUGGCUUUAAACGACCCGUCUUGAAACACGGACC
rnacentral:rRNA from 1 species